rnacentral:rRNA from 1 species
ACGUAGGUGGCAAGCGUUGUCCGGAUUUAUUGGGUUUAAAGGGUGCGUAGGCGGUCCUGUAAGUCAGUUGUGAAAUACGGCAGCUUAACUGUCGAGGUGCAAUUGAUACUGCAGGACUUGAGUACUGAUGAGGUAGGCGGAAUGGACGGUGUAGCGGUGAAAUGCUUAGAGAUCGUCCAGAACACCGAUAGCGAAGGCAGCUUACUAAGGAGUAACUGACGCUGAGGCACGAAAGUGUGGGGAUCAAACAGGAUUAGAUACCCUGGUAGUCCACACUGUAAACGAUGAUUACUCGAUGUUGGCGAUACACAGCCAGCGUCUUAGCAAAAGCGAUAAGUAAUCCACCUGGGGAGUACGCCGGCAACGGU